GACGAACGCUGGCGGCGUGCUUAACACAUGCAAGUCGAACGGAAAGGCCUGCUUUCCCUUGUGGAUUGCGGGUACUCGAGUGGCGAACGGGUGAGUAACACGUGAGUGAUCUGCCCCCAACUUGGGUAUAAGCCUGGGAAACUGGGUCUAAUUCCCGAUAGGACUGCAGGGUGGUGCCUGUGGUGGAAAACGAUUUUCUAGUGGUUGGGGAUGAGCUCGCGGCCUAUCAGCUUGUUGGUGGGGUAAUGGCCUACCAAGGCGGCGACGGGUAGCCGGCCUGAGAGGGUGGACGGCCACAUUGGGACUGAGAUACGGCCCAGACUCCUACGGGAGGCAGCAGUGGGGAAUAUUGCACAAUGGGCGGAAGCCUGAUGCAGCGACGCCGCGUGGGGGAUGACGGCCUUCGGGUUGUAAGCUCCUUUCGACCGCGAGGAAGCCACCUGGUUGGAAGGGUGGUGACGGUAGUGGUAGAAGAAGCACCGGCUAACUACGU
rnacentral:rRNA from 1 species